rnacentral:tRNA from 1 species
GCUCUGGUAGUGUAGAUGGCCCAGCAUAGAAGGCUUUCACCCUUUUGACCCGGGUUCAAAUCCCGGCCAGAGCA